rnacentral:rRNA from 1 species
GGACCCGCACAAGCGGUGGAUGAUGUGGUUUAAUUCGAUGCAACGCGAAAAACCUUACCUACCCUUGACAUGUACGGAACUUGCCAGAGAUGGCUUGGUGCUCGAAAGAGAGCCGUAACACAGGUGCUGCAUGGCUGUCGUCAGCUCGUGUCGUGAGAUGUUGGGUUAAGUCCCGCAACGAGCGCAACCCUUGUCAUUAGUUGCUACAUUUAGUUGGGCACUCUAAUGAGACUGCCGGUGACAAACCGGAGGAAGGUGGGGAUGACGUCAAGUCCUCAUGGCCCUUAUGGGUAGGGCUACACACGUCAUACAAUGGCUGGUACAAAGGGUUGCCAACCCGCGAGGGGAGCUAAUCCCAUAAAGCCAGUCGUAGUCCGGAUCGUAGUCUGCAACUCGAGUACAUGAAGGAGGAAUCGCUAG